ACUUGGAGGAUCCUGAGUGCCGCCAGAUUGGUUGGGGAUGCUGAAGUGCGCAGGACGCCGAGGCUAAGGGGCAGGAAGGGACGGCCAGCAUGCAGCGCCACGAUUCGGUCAGCAGGUGGCGCGCGAGCACCGCGUUUAACCAGUUUCUAGGUGCGGACUCACCCGAUUCAAGAGGCCCCCAUCACAUCAGCUUCAGCCUUCAUCUUGGGA
rnacentral:lncRNA from 1 species